rnacentral:rRNA from 1 species
GCGUGCAUAACACAUGCAAGUCGAACGAAUGAAACUUAGCUGAUUUCUUCGGAAUGAAAUUAAGUGGAUUAGUGGCGAACGGGUGAGUAACACGUGAGUAACCUGCCUUACACAAGGGGAUAGCCUUUGGAAACGAAGAAUAAUACCCUAUAAAGUCAAUUUAUCGCAUGAUGAAAUGACCAAAGAUUUAUCGGUGUAAGAUGGACUUGCGUCUGAUUAGCUAGUUGGUGAGAUAAAAGCCCACCAAGGCGACGAUCAGUAGCCGGCUUGAGAGAGUGUACGGCCACAUUGGGACUGAGACACGGCCCAAACUCCUACGGGAGGCAGCAGUGGGGAAUUUUGCACAAUGGGGGAAACCCUGAUGCAGCGACGCCGCGUGAUUUAGAAGGCCUUCGGGUUGUAAAAAUCUUUUUUAUGGGAUGAAAAUGACAGUACCAUAAGAAUAAGGUCCGGCUAAAUACGUGCCAGCAGCCGCGGUAAUACGUAUGGACCGAGCGUUGUCCGGAAUCAUUGGGCGUAAAGGGUACGUAGGCGGCCUAGUAAGUUAGAAGUGAAAUAAUAUAGCUCAACUAUAUAAAGCUUUUAAAACUGUUAGGCUUGAGAGAUGAAAGGGAAAGUGGAAUUCCUAGUGUAGCGGUGAAAUGCGCAGAUAUUAGGAAGAAUACCGGUGGCGAA